rnacentral:rRNA from 1 species
CCUACGGGAGGCUGCAGUGAGGAAUAUUGGUCAAUGGGCGCGAGCCUGAACCAGCCAAGUAGCGUGAAGGAUGACGGCACUACGUAUCGUAAACUUCUUUUGUAAAGGAAUAAAGUGAGGCACGUGUCCCUGUUUGUGUGUACUUUAUGAAUAAGGAUCGGCUAACUCCGUGCCAGCAGCCGCGGUAAUACGGAGGAUCCGAGCGUUAUCCGGAUUUAUUGGGUUUAAAGGGAGCGGAGGUGGGCUGUUAAGUCAGUUGUGAAAGUUUGGGGCUCAACCGUGGAAGUGCAAUUGAAACUGGCAGUCUGGAGUAGAGUUGAGGUAGGCGGAAUGCGUGGUGUAGCGGUGAAAUGCUUAGAUAUCACGAAGAACUCCGAUUGCGAAGGCAGCGUACCA